UACGUAGGGUGCAAGCGUUGUUCGGAAUUACUGGGCGUAAAGCGUGCGCAGGCGGCUUCUCAAGUCAGGGGUGAAAGCCCAGAGCUCAACUCUGGAAUUGCCUUUGAGACUGAGUGGCUUGAGUACGAGAGAGGUGAGUGGAAUUCCCAGUGUAGAGGUGAAAUUCGUAGAUAUUGGGGAGAACACCGGUGGCGAAGGCGGCUCACUGGCUCAUUACUGACGCUCAGGCGCGACAGCGUGGGGAUCAAACAGG
rnacentral:rRNA from 1 species